rnacentral:rRNA from 1 species
CCUACGGGAGGCUGCAGUGAGGAAUAUUGGUCAAUGGACGAGAGUCUGAACCAGCCAAGUAGCGUGAAGGAUGACUGCUCUAUGGGUUGUACACUUCUUUUAUAUGGGAAUAAACUUUUCUACGUGUGUGAUUUUGUAUGUACCAUAUGAAUAAGGAUCGGCUAACUCCGUGCCAGCAGCCGCGGUAAUACGGAGGAUCCGAGCGUUAUCCGGCUUUAUUGGGUUUAAAGGGAGCGUAGGUGGAUUGGUAAGUCAGUUGUGAAAGGUCGCGGCUCAACCGUAGAAUUGCAGUUGAAACUGGUGUUCUAGAGUACAGUAGAGGUAGGCGGAAUUCGUGGUGUAGCGGUGAAAUGCUUAGAUAUCAUGAAGAACUCCGAUUGCGAAGGCAGCUCACUAGACUACAACUGACACUGAGGCUCGAAAGUGUGGGUAUCAAACAGGAUUAGAUACCCGGGUAGUC